rnacentral:rRNA from 1 species
GACGAACGCUGGCGGCGUGCUUAACACAUGCAAGUCGAGCGGUAAGGCCCUUUCGGGGUACACGAGCGGCGAACGGGUGAGUAACACGUGGGUGACCCUGCCUUUAGCUCUGGGAUAAGCCUGGGAAACUGGGUCUAAUACCGGAUAUGACCCUAUGGCGCAUGUUGUGGGGUGGAAAAGCCUUGUGCGGCUAGGGAUGGGCCCGCGGCCUAUCAGCUUGUUGGUGGGUGAUGGCCUACCAAGGCGACGACGGGUAGCCGGCCUGAGAGGGCGACCGGCCACACUGGGACUGAGACACGGCCCAGACUCCU